rnacentral:rRNA from 1 species
GACGAACGCUGGCGGCGUGCUUAACACAUGCAAGUCGAACGGAAAGGCCCGCUUGCGGGUACUCGAGUGGCGAACGGGUGAGUAACACGUGGGCAACCUGCCCUCAGCUCUGGGAUAACUCCGGGAAACCGGUGCUAAUACUGGAUACGACUGCGCAUCGCAUGGUGUGUGGUGGAAAGUUUUUCGGCUGAGGAUGGGCCCGCGGCCUAUCAGCUUGUUGGUGGGGUAAUGGCCUACCAAGGCGACGACGGGUAGCCGGCCUGAGAGGGCGACCGGCCACACUGGGACUGAGACACGGCCCAGACUCCUACGGGAGGCAGCAGUGGGGAAUAUUGCGCAAUGGGCGAAAGCCUGACGCAGCGACGCCGCGUGAGGGAUGACGGCCUUCGGGUUGUAAACCUCUUUCAGCUCUGACGAAGCGAAAGUGACGGUAGGAGCAGAAGAAGCACCGGCCAACUACGUGCCAGCCGCCGCCGUAA